rnacentral:rRNA from 1 species
UCGGUUGAACAAGCCGUUUUUCUUUUAUGUUUUACUACAAACGCUUCAGUUAUAGAAUGUCAACUGUGUAUAACACAUUUAUAUACAACUUUCAGCAACGGAUCUCUUGGCUCUCGCAUCGAUGAAGAACGCAGCGAAAUGCGAUAAGUAAUGUGAAUUGCAGAAUUCAGUGAAUCAUCGAAUCUUUGAACGCACCUUGCACUCCUUGGUAUUCCGAGGAGUAUGCCUGUUUGAGUCUCAUGGUAUUCUCAACCCCUAAAUUUUUGUAAUGAAGGUUUAGCGGGCUUGGACUUGGAGGUUGUGUCGGCCCUUGUCGGUCGACUCCUCUGAAAUGCAUUAGCGUGAAUCUUACGAAUCGCCUUCAGUGUGAUAAUUAUCUGCGCUGUGGUGUUGAAGUAUUUAUGGUGUUCAUGCUUCGAACCGUCUCCUUGCCCGAGACAAUCAUUUGACAAUCUGAGCUCAAAUCA